AAACACCAAUCUCUCCCAUGAGCUUCAUCCCAGACACAGCCAGAGAUAGUGUUCCAUAAGCCACCUGGACUUCCAUUAGUCCAGUCAAGUUGCACACAAAAGUAACUAUCACAAAUAACUGCAGUUGAAAGAGAAGUCUCCACGUCUUCUCUACCAGUUGAUGUUUAUCAGAGGACAACAGAGGAAGAGGGGGCAGAGUGCCCCAACAGAUGUGUUAAUCAAGAGCACCCUGCCUCUAAAAGGAAGUGUUAAGGAUAAUGUUUUUGACAUUAAGAGAUGCCUUAAAGUUGAUGUGGGAAAAGAUUUGGUUAAACAAGACCCGCAGGCUGAAUCUGACCUGUCUUUGUAAUAAAGUUUUAUUGUAACACA